UGGGGAAUUUUGGACAAUGGGCGCAAGCCUGAUCCAGCAAUGCCGCGUGCAGGAUGAAGGCCUUCGGGUUGUAAACUGCUUUUGUACGGAACGAAAAGCCUCUCUCUAAUACAGGGGGGUGAUGACGGUACCGUAAGAAUAAGCACCGGCUAACUACGUGCCAGCAGCCGCGGUAAUACGUAGGGUGCAAGCGUUAAUCGGAAUUACUGGGCGUAAAGCGUGCGCAGGCGGUUUUGUAAGACAGUGGUGAAAUCCCCGGGCUCAACCUGGGAACUGCCAUUGUGACUGCAAGGCUGGAGUGCGGCAGAGGGGGAUGGAAUUCCGCGUGUAGCAGUGAAAUGCGUAGAUAUGCGGAGGAACACCGAUGGCGAAGGCAAUCCCCUGGGCCUGCACUGACGCUCAUGCACGAAAGCGUGGGGAGCAAACAGGAUUAGAUACCCUGGUAGUCCACGCCCUAAACGAUGUCAACUGGUUGUUGGGGAUUUAUUUCUUCAGUAACGAAGCUAACGCGUGAAGUUGACCGCCUGGGGGAGUACGGCCGC
rnacentral:rRNA from 1 species